GGAAGAUCUAAGUGAGCUGAAGAUACCUGAAGACUUCAUCACAGACUUCUCCAGUGUGGUUUUUGGAAAUCGUCGUGCAGCUCUGGAAGCAGCUUCCUCGCAGAAAGAUCCUCACCUUCCCACACUGGAAGAAUUUAUGUGGAGAGUGG